UUAUCGUCGUAGCACUCGACUGCACUAAGCCUGUCCUUCUCUCUCUCUCUCUCUAGAGCCAUGGUGCUUCACUUCGAGUUCCCCUUCUUCGUCAUCCUCGCGACCCUCCUCCUCCUCUGCGUCGUCGUGGCCAAACUCCGCGACAUGGCCGAGGCGCGAACCGCCGCCGAACCGGCUUCGCCGUCGAGCCCCGGAUCGCGCAAGGACUCAGCCGGCGACGAACCCGUCGCGUCUCGGGGCGAUGAUCGAACGGCGAGGGAAGUCGGGACCGCCGGUUCCGAGGGUUCGGAUGGAGUUCGUGCCGGAACCGGGACGGAACUGUGGACGAAAGAGUUCCGAGGAGGAUCGGUCGGCGGAGACAACGACGACUGGGAGGGGGUGGAGAGAAGCGAGUGGGCGAGGCUUUUCGGGCGGGCCGUCCGGUUCGCGUGCUCGGCGCGGAAUGCCGGUUUGAUCUCGGGGAUCCACGGCGAGCCGACGGCGAAGCUGUACGGGCUCCACAAGGUCGCGCUCGAGGGGCCGUGCGGCGACCGCCGGCCGAUGGCGUUCAGGGUCUCGGCUAGAGCCAAGUGGAAUGCUUGGCGACAGCUUGGGAACACGAGCCCGGAGGUUGCCAUGGAGGAAUACAUCAAUCUUCUCUCAGAAAAAUUUCCCAACUGGAUGCAGAACGAUGGGGUCUAUUUGUUCUGUUCUUUUGCUGGUGCUUUCUUGGUCAGGAGGAAGAAGAAGAAGAAGAUUGUACAGAUGCCGAAACAUUUUGGAAGCUAAUCUGCAAUCUGAGGACAGUGAUGGAGCAGCAAACGAAAAGAAAACUGACCGAAACAGAUCACAGAAGCUGAAUCCUGCGACAUGAUCCUGAUGUCACUGGGCUCCAUGAUGCAGACAAGACUUUGGUGAACGAGGCACAUCAAGAGAUUGUACAGGCAAUUAUUUUGAUUAGGGAGAGGAUUAUAACUCUUAGUCUAGCCAUUGAAGUUUAUCUUAGCUGAUAGUAAACUUAGGUUUCAUUUUGCACGUUUUAGGAUCAACAAAGUACAAUCUUCUAUGUAAAUUUAUGACCUCAUGAGAAAAUGGUGCUUCUUCU